GGCCCUUCACUAAUAAAAGGAAGAAGAGGCUCCCGAGAGCCUUAUUUCAGAAAAUGGAGAGUUCCUCAUUUCUCUUUCCUUAAGGUUUUUAUACAAAAUCCAUGAUCUACGAAGAUCUAACGGUCCGAUCUUCGAUCCGUCUUCGAAAACGUGAUCCCUGCACGUGGAUCUACGUUUCCACCGAUCGUUUUUAGGUAAUGGGUUACUUGGAACUUGCUUAAGACUACCCAAACCAUGGAUUUUGGUUUGGUGAAUUUUGUGAUACAUUGCAAGGUGGUGUCUAUGAGACCUAGUGCUUGAUAUCCGCGCAGCCAAAACAUUGAUGCUUUGGUUGCAGGUCCUGCGGAUAUAGAUAUUGACUCGUCCACCUAGCGUAUAGGAUAUUAUGAUUGGAACACAUCGCGACAGUCAUAAGUCACGGACUCAUGGGUAGUCCGCAUUUUGGGAUAUUUUAUCCAUGGCUCGUGUCCUAUGUGGCACAUGUAUUUGUUGAGCCUAUAUUUUAGAAUGUAAUUAGUGUAAUAUGUUAUAUAAGCCUUAAAUAGUUAGACUUGUAAAUGGCUCUUGUUGUAAUUAACUGUUGUAUAUUAGAUGUAUUUUCGCUUA